AGGUGGUGGGUGACGACUACACAUCCAAUCACAGAGCUGCGUUAUUGCUCACCUUAUAUCACCUGUACCCUCAGUCAGCAUUAGGUAGGCCGUCGUUACUGUGAGCAGAGACUAGCAGAGGUCAAACAAAUAGAAAAACGUUAUCGUUUAACCCUCUUUUUGUGUUUUUCUCUUUUUGUGCUUUUUUUAAAUUUAAAUGUAUGUCUUUUACUUAUAACUGUAUUUUACACUGCAGAAGUAUUUCUGUGUUUUUUUAUUGUAAAGAAAUACUCCUGUUUGGUCCCCCCUUGGCUUCGUCUCCAUGACAACAACCGUGACUGACGGCGUCUCCAGAAGUAAAGGCUGCUGAGAGUCUGACGGAGCUUCUGAAGCUCCGCCCCUCGGCGCUGACGGUGCAGGCGUUGCUGACGGAUGUCCUGGGGAUCUGGCUUUCAGUCUGAGGUGGUCUCAAGACUCCCAGUCCCUCGAGACGACGAAGACUCCUUAGGAUCUUUCUCUUCUUCUCUUCUAAGCUCAGGUUGCCAUUGGCAACCAGUGACUGGUUCCUCUUCAUCUUAUCAGGUGUACGAGCGUCCUGCCGAGCACGCCGGUGCAUCAGCCAAUCGUGACACACUUCCUGUGGAGGAGAAGAGAUGACUGAAGUUCACCGUGAGGGUCUUGAAUUUCCCUUGGGAUCAAUGAAGUAUCUAUCUGUCUA